rnacentral:rRNA from 1 species
CCUACGGGCGGCAGCAGUGAGGAAUAUUGGUCAAUGGGCUUACGCCUGAACCAGCCAAGUCGCGUGAGGGAAGACUGCCCUAUGGGUUGUAAACCUCUUUUGUCAGGGAGCAAUUGGCGCUACGUGUAGCGUUAUCGAGAGUACCUGAAGAAAAAGCAUCGGCUAACCCCGUGCCAGCAGCCGCGGUAAUACGGAGGAUGCGAGCGUUAUCCGGUUUUAUUGGGUUUAAAGGGUGCGUAGGCGGAAUGCCAAGUCAGCGGUAAAAUCGCGGGGCUCAACCUCGCUCCGCCGUUGAAACUGGCGGUCUUGAGUGGGCGAGAAGUAUGCGGAAUGCGUGGUGUAGCGGUGAAAUGCAUAGAUAUCACGCAGAACUCCGAUUGCGAAGGCAGCAUACCGGCGCCCAACUGACGCUGAAGCACGAAAGCGUGGGUAUCGAACAGGAUUAGAUACCCCUGUAGUC